AAUUAACUAGUUUCCUUAUCACAAAAAGCUUCAGCACAAUUGACCUGCUGACCUUAAUUCCCAGGAAACUGUCACAUUAUUUCUUUACCCCUUUGUCUAACUUAACAAUGUGACCCAAAAUACUGCAGAGCUUUAAAGUUUCUCAGCAUUGUAAGGUCAAGCUUUGGUCACCAUAGUUACAGUUUAGAUCUGCAGGUCAGAGGUCAAAUAGAUUAAUGAUGUCAGACACAUCUUUAAAUGGUUCUAACACUACUUCACCAUGAGGUAAACAGCUGAGCAUAUUUGAUAUGACAAAGGCAUUCUUCAAUCUUGCUAAUAAGAUCUUUUUAGACAUCUGAUAGAAAGAUAUCAUGGAAACCAACUACUCAGCAAAGACAUUAAUUGCUGACCUGUUUGGCAGCACUUACGGAUAUCAGUUCAACAAGCUGACGGAGUAUUCUGUUUAGUCAUUAUGCCAGGAGAAUGACAAAUCAACAUUUAACUACCUUUUGAAGAAGCCAAAUCAUUAAAACACUGGUUUUGUAUAAAACUGUUGAAAUGCAAAAAAAAAAAGGUGGGGGGGGAGGGCUUAUUCAACAUGGAGAAAAAUUUUAAGAGAUUAUAAGUCAAAUAAAAUAUCAGGUUGAGUUCUGA